rnacentral:rRNA from 1 species
GGAAUCUUAGACAAUGGGCGAAAGCCUGAUCUAGCCAUGCCGCGUGAGUGAAGAAGGCCUUAGGGUCGUAAAGCUCUUUAGCCAGAGAUGAUAAUGACAGUAUCUGGUAAAGAAACCCCGGCUAACUCCGUGCCAGCAGCCGCGGUAAUACGGAGGGGGUUAGCGUGGUUCGGAAUUACUGGGCGUAAAGCGCGCGUAGGCGGAUCAGAAAGUUGGGGGUGAAAUCCCGGGGCUCAACCCCGGAACUGCCUCCAAAACUCCUGGUCUUGAGUUCGAGAGAGGUGAGUGGAAUUCCGAGUGUCGAGGUGAAAUUCGUAGAUAUUCGGAGGAACACCAGUGGCGAAGGCGGCUCACUGGCUCGAUACUGACGCUGAGGUGCGAAAGCGUGGGGAGCA